GCCCAGCAAGCUCAGUUGGUAGAGCAUGGGACUCUUAAUCCCUGGGUUGUGGGUUCAAGUCCCAUGUUGGGCA